UGGGGAAUUUUGGACAAUGGGCGCAAGCCUGAUCCAGCAAUGCCGCGUGUGUGAAGAAGGCCUUCGGGUUGUAAAGCACUUUUGGCAGGAAAGAAAUAGUGCGUGCUAAUACCAUGCGCGAAUGACGGUACCUGCAGAAUAAGCACCGGCUAACUACGUGCCAGCAGCCGCGGUAAUACGUAGGGUGCGAGCGUUAAUCGGAAUUACUGGGCGUAAAGCGUGCGCAGGCGGCUUUGUAAGACGGAUGUGAAAGCCCCGGGCUCAACCUGGGAAGUGCAUUCGUGACUGCAAGGCUAGAGUGUGUCAGAGGGAGGUGGAAUUCCGCGUGUAGCAGUGAAAUGCGUAGAGAUGCGGAGGAACACCGAUGGCGAAGGCAGCCUCCUGGGAUAACACUGACGCUCAGGCACGAAAGCGUGGGGAGCAAACAGG
rnacentral:rRNA from 1 species